rnacentral:misc_RNA from 1 species
AGAAAUUAUAGCUUUGUUGUUGAUAUACCUCUCAUCCUUUGUUCAUUCACAAUAUAAUAUUUUCAUGAACCACCUGAUACUUAAAUUUCAACUGGCAUUUAUUUUAAAAGAAAAGAACUUCCUCUUUCUCUCUCAUCCUCUCUUAAAUGUUGGGUGUUUUACAACGUAAAUAAUUGGCUCUGCAAUGUAGCCUUUGGUUAUAGCUUGAAUUUUGCUUCUUUG